GUUUCAUUAUGGCAGUGCCUUUGGGGAACCAAGCGGUCAUGCAGACACAGUUGAAGCUAUGAGUGAAAUUCUUGUGAACAAAGGCUUUAGCUGCAAUGGCAAAGACUUUCUGUAUUCAGGUAUCACAGGUUGCCCACUGCAAGCAUAUAUUUUCAUGGGUCCUAUUUACUAUCAAAAGUUAAAACAUAUGGUCCUAGAUAAAAUGCAUGCUCGAGC